UACGGAGGGUGCGAGCGUUGUCCGGAAUUACUGGGCGUAAAGAGUGCGUAGGCGGUUUCUCAAGUCCGCUGUGAAAUCCCCGGGCUCAACCUGGGAACUGCAUUGGUGACUGGCAGGCUAGAGUAUGGCAGAGGGGGGUAGAAUUCCACGUGUAGCAGUGAAAUGCGUAGAGAUGUGGAGGAAUACCGAUGGCGAAGGCAGCCCCCUGGGCCAAUACUGACGCUCAUGCACGAAAGCGUGGGGAGCAAACAGG
rnacentral:rRNA from 1 species